GAUUCUGGCUCAGGAUGAACGCUGGCGGCGUGCCUAACACAUGCAAGUCGAGCGAUUCUCUUCGGAGAAGAGCGGCGGACGGGUGAGUAACGCGUGGGUAACCUGCCUCAUACACAUGGAUAACAUACCGAAAGGUAUGCUAAUACAGGAUAAUAUAAGAGAUUCACAUGGAUUUCUUAUCAAAGCUCCGGCGGUAUGAGAUGGACCCGCGUCUGAUUAGCUAGUUGGCAAGGUAACGGCUUACCAAGGCGACGAUCAGUAGCCGACCUGAGAGGGUGAUCGGCCACAUUGGAACUGAGACACGGUCCAAACUCCUACGGGAGGCAGCAGUGGGGAAUAUUGCACAAUGGGCGAAAGCCUGAUGCCAGCAACGCCGCGUGAGUGAUGAAGGCCUUCGGGUCGUAAAACUCUGUCCUCAAGGAAGAUAAUGACGGUACUUGAGGAGGAAGCCCCGGCUAACUACGUGCCAGCCGCUGC
rnacentral:rRNA from 1 species